AUUGAACGCUGGCGGCAUGCCUUACACAUGCAAGUCGAACGGCAGCACGGGGCAACCUGGUGGCGAGUGGCGAACGGGUGAGUAAUGCAUCGGAACGUGCCAUUGAGUGGGGGAUAACGUAGCGAAAGUUGCGCUAAUACCGCAUAUUCUGUGAGCAGGAAAGCAGGGGACCGCAAGGCCUUGCGCUCUUUGAGCGGCCGAUGUCAGAUUAGCUAGUUGUGAGGUAACGGCUUACCAAGGCGACGAUCUGUAGCGGGUCUGAGAGGAUGAUCCGCCACACUGGAACUGAGACACGGUCCAGACUCCUACGGGAGGCAGCAGUGGGGAAUUUGGACCAAUGGGCGCAAGCCUGAUCCAGCCAUGCCGCGUGAGUGAAGAAGGCCUUC
rnacentral:rRNA from 1 species